CACACAUGUUUCCUGCUGCUGUUCUCCUGUCCUCCCCUCACAUCUCCAGACAGACUAAUGAAGGAAAGGCCUCAGGUGAUUGAAUGAACAUCGCUCAUUCGUUUAGCACUUACCAAGUUUGACAUGCUUUUGAUGAAGGUUAAAGGCUUGUUUUAAUCCAUCAGACACGAGUUUACAAGCUAAAGAAAUAAUUCACCCAAAAAUGAAUAACGGCUUGAGAUUUGGUUUGGUCCUCAUGCAAGUGCUCGAGUACUAUAAACCAAUUUUAUUAUACGUUAAUGGUACGUUUUGGAGUUCAGCAGUGUAAAUUAAUUUUUCAGUUUCUCUGUGUGGAAAAAAGCAACUCAGAGUUCUCAUUUUUGGGUAUACUGUCACUUUAAGAAAAGUCUUUUAUUUGCAUCGAUUGUCAUUUUUAACUUGAUUACUGUUAAAAAUGUUUCCUAAUGUCAGAAGCUGUUUCAGCUACAAACAGAUUUCUUAGUAGUUGUUUCUACAUAAGCAAACAACCAUGAAACCUGAACAUUUAUUUGCACUUUCUUACUUCCUGUUGCAUCUGACUUUAAAUGCUGAUUUUCAUAAUCAUUUACAUUCCAUUAAGCUACCAUGCUUUUAAUUAGUUUUGCAAAACUAGUAUGAAUCCCAAUUUGCAUACUAGCAACUAUAUACUUCAGUAUAAACGUUAAUUAAUAAUUCACCCAAAAAUGAAAAUUAGCUGAAAAUAUACUCUCCCUCAGGCAAUCGAAGAUGAAGAUGAGUUUGUUUCUUCAUCAGAACAGAUUUGGAGAAAUGCAGCAUUACAUCACUUGCUCACCAGUGGAUACUCUGCAGUGAAUGGGUGCCGUCAAAAUAAGGAAGCAUUAUUAUUUUGUUAUAAACAUGCAGUUUUUUCACUUCACAAGAUGUUAAUUGAUGGACUGGACUGGAGUGGUGUGGAUUACUUGUGGAUUAUUGUGAUGUUUUUAUCAGCUGUUUGGACUCUCGUUCUGACGGCACCCAUUCACUGCAGAGCAUCCACUGGUGAGUAAGUGAUGUAAUGCUACAUUUCUCCAAAUCUGUUCCUAUGAAAAAAAACCUAUACUAGUCUGAGGGUGAGUACAUUUUCAGCAAAUUUCCAUUAUUGUGUGACUAUCAAACUGAAAAAAACCUAUCUAGUCUGAGGGUGAGUUACAUUUUCAGCAAAUUUCCAUUAUUGUGUGACAUCAAACUCAUCAAUGAGGC
rnacentral:lncRNA from 1 species